rnacentral:rRNA from 1 species
CCUACGGGGUGCAGCAGUAGGGAAUAUUCCACAAUGGGCGAAAGCCUGAUGGAGCAACGCCGCGUGGGUGAAGAAGGUCUUCGGAUCGUAAAACCCUGUUGUUAGAGAAGAAAGUGCGUGAGAGUAACUGUUCACGUUUCGACGGUAUCUAUACAGAAAGCCACGGCUAACUACGUGCCAGCAGCCGCGGUAAUACGUAGGGGGCAAGCGUUAUCCGGAUUUAUUGGGAGUAAAGGGAGCGCAGGCGGUCUUUUAAGUCUGAUGUGAAGGCCUUCGGCUUAACCGGAGUAGUGCAUUGGAAACUGGGAGACUUGAGUGCAGAUGAGGAGAGUGGAACGCAAUGUGUAGCGGUGAAAUGCGUAGAUAUAUGGAAGAACACCAGUUGCGAAAGCGGCUCUCUGGUCUGUAACUGACGCUGAGGUUCGAAAGCGUGGGUAGCAAACAGGAUUAGAUACCCGUGUAGUC